CAGUCGCCACGCGUAACACGAAGGGGGCUAGCGUUGUUCGGAAUUACUGGGCGUAAAGCGCACGUAGGCGGAUAUUUAAGUCAGGGGUGAAAUCCCGCAGCUCAACUGCGGAACUGCCUUUGAUACUGGGUAUCUUGAGUAUGGAAGAGGUUAGUGGAAUUGCGAGUGUAGAGGUGAAAUUCGUAGAUAUUCGCAGGAACACCAGUGGCGAAGGCGGCUAACUGGUCCAUAACUGACGCUGAGGUGCGAAAGCGUGGGGAGCAAACAGGAUUAGAUACCCCAGUAGUCCCUGUCUCUUAUA
rnacentral:rRNA from 1 species